GUUUUUGCUGCGUCACAGGGAGACAGAAGAUGGGCUGCUAUUUCGUCGGCUAAAUGCUAUCAUUUUAAGCACCGUUCCAAAGAAAACAGGGAUCUUGCCAGAGGAAAAUAACAUAUACCAUAAAGGAAAAAGAAAUGUGCAUCAAGGCAAAUAAACAGCUCUCUACUAAGGGCCUAGGAUCUUGCUAGACGAGUCAUUUCUCUGGUUGAAAAGCAGUUGAGAAAGGCAAGACAAGGGGGGCGGGGGCCCAGCAGGGCACCUCUGAGCCCUUCCUGCUGCUCUUCAAAGACAGACGCAUUUUCCUUUCUACGGUCUCCUUGCAAGUCUUCUGUAGGCCCUGCCACCUUCAGGCUGACUGACUGCCUCCUUCAAAUAUCAGCAUUUGGCUCAGAAGAAAAGCCACGUCUGCCUACACAAUCUCACAAUCCGGCUUCAGCAAAGCAUGAGUUAAUUCAACUUCAUACUCGUGAACGUGAAGCGGGGGUUGGAAGGAAUGAAGGCUGCAGGACACCCAUGUACCAAGAAAAAGAAAGACAAAUUGGUUGUUUUAUCUACUUUACAUCAUGAUGGAGUCCUAAAAAGGGCCCCAUGAAGGCAGGCAGCCCAGGGAGGAAUGACUGGACGGUGACAUUGUGCAGGGGGUCUGGAAGUUGCCAGCGCAGGGGUUAGCAGCUGCAGCCUGGCCUGGUCCUGUCUGCCUGGCUGUCAAACCCAGAAGACCGUGGUUUCUGGUGGCCUCUGUGUGACAGCGGAGGAGGUGGGGCGAGGCCUGGAAGUGAAGCAUCUCGUGAGCCACUUAAGUGUUUAUGAAGCUCGCUAAUGUGCUUAAAUGAACGAGAAGCAGGUACUUGCUCCCAGGACCAGAGCCACCAAAGCAAUUUCCUCUGCAGCCCCUCAUACUUCGCACACUGGAAGCUUGCAUUCUUUCCCAGAGGACAGCCGGAUUACAGCACCGCCUCUAAUGCAACCCGAUCUGGUUUCUUUGAGCGCCGCGGUGAACGUGCAAUCUAUCUCAUAAAUGCAUCGCAGUGUUCCACAAAUCACCCACGUUCAUCCCUUGAGACGUCUUUAACUCGGGGCUUAGAGUUGCAAAUGAAUUCUCCUAUGGAUCUAUUAUUCCAUCAAAUAGCGGAGAGAGGGGACUAGCUUGUGCAGAGCCUUCAUAGAGCUGGGCUAAAUUCGAUUAUGCAAAGUCUAACGAGCACCAUUCAGCAAAACCAUGGUGGGUGUGAGCUGCAGGCCAGCCCCUCCACUGGGCCAUUAUCCAGGGGUAAACACCACUCGUGGGUUAGUUCCACGAGUUACUGGCUGAUUUGACCUGUGAUACUCCAAGGUGGAAGUAACCAAAUAAUAUGUAUCAUGAGCCCCAAGAACGAAGCCAGUGGAGAGUGGUACAUGCUAGAGGGUAACGCCUGGCCCUUUGCAGGACAGCACGUCAGCCAUGCGCCAUGGGACGAUGGUGGUGGCUGGGACACAGGAGGCCACGGCAGGAAAUGGGCAGGUGGGUGGGUCUAUGUAAGCUGGCUUUAGACUUCAAUCCACAAGCAUUUGCAGCUCAACUACUCAGCGUCUUAUCUUAUUUAAUCCUUUCAGCAAUAAACACUCUUUUCACAUGUAGUAAGGUUAAGGAGUCUACAUCACACCCUUUAUCAUUAUUAAUAAAGGGACACACCCUCCAGGGAUCCUAGGGAACCUCCUACCCACCCUGUGGUCACUCUAGGGAAAGGAAAGCUCUCAGGGACCGACGGGAGCCUGGGCACAUGCGCCACCACUCUCUCCUUUAUCCCCUCUAGCCCGGCUUGCUGGCUCUCACUUUCUUUUGUGCACUAGAACUCACGUACAAGUUGCACACCCAAACCCUUGCAUGCUGCAUUUCAGAGUCAACUUCAGUGAUUUUUGAGAGUGAUUUUGACAAUCCCAGUCAAAAUUCUAGCAGGUUUUUUUUUUUUACAUGACAAGUGGAUUCUAAAAUUCAUAGGAAAAUGCAAAUGACCUAGAAGAGCCAAAGCAAUUUUGGAAGGAGUAAAGUCGAAUGGCUGACGCUACCAGAUUUCAAGAUUCACUUGAAACGCACAGGAAUCAAGACAGGGUGGUGUCGACAGAAGGAAGGCGUCAGAGCAGGGUGACAGGAGGCAGGGCCACACACAGACGGCUGAUUGAUACCCGACAAAACCGCCGAGGUAAUUUCACAGGGAAAGGAACUCUUUUGAACAAAUGGUGCACCAACAAUUGGAUAACCAUACGGAAAAAAUUUAAAAAACAGAAGAACAUUGACCCUUCACGCACAUCAAACAUAAAUUAACUCAGAAUCCAUCAUAGGCUGGGUGUUGUGGCUCAUGCCUUUAAUCCUAGCACUUUGGGAGGCCAAGGCAGGCGGAUCACCUGAGGUCAGG
rnacentral:lncRNA from 1 species